rnacentral:pre_miRNA from 1 species
UGUAAAUUUUUUUUUUACUGUUAAAAACUGACGCAGCUAACAAAAUAAUCAAACAGUUACAUGUGACGUGUCACGUGUAUCUUAUUCUGACGUAUAAGGAUCAGUUCUUAAUAGUAAAAAUGGAUGGAAUAUUUAACA